AGAGUUUGAUCCUGGCUCAGCCUGAACGCUGGCGGCGUGGCUAAGACAUGCAAGUCGUACGGGGUAGCAAUACCCAGUGGCGAACGGGUGAGUAAUGUAUCGCUAACGUGCCCCCGAGUCAGGGAUAGCUGCCCGAAAGGGCAGGUAAUACCUGAUGAGACCACGACCGGGCAUCCGGUAGUGCUCAAAGCAGCAAUGCGCUCAGGGAGCGGGCGAUAUCGUAUCAGCUAGUUGGUGAGGUAACGGCUCACCAAGGCGACGACGCGUAGCCGGACUGAGAGGUUGGCCGGCCACAUUGGGACUGAGACACUGCCCAGACUCCUACGGGGGGCUGCAGUAACGAAUCUUCCGCAAUGCACGAAAGUGUGACGGAGCGACGCCGCGUGUGGGACGAAGUCCUUCGGGAUGUAAACCACUGUCAGGGGUUACCAAGUUCUGAGGAGCCCCAGAGGAAGGCACGGCUAACUCUGUGCCAGCCGCCGCGGUAAUAC
rnacentral:rRNA from 1 species